UACGUAGGCAGCAAGCGUUGUUCGGAGUUACUGGGCGUAAAGGGUGCGUAGGCGGCUUCUUAAGUCUGGUGUGAAAUCUCCCGGCUCAACUGGGAGGGUGCGCCGGAUACUGAGGGGCUAGAGUGUGGGAGAGGAAAGUGGAAUUCCUGGUGUAGCGGUGAAAUGCGUAGAUAUCAGGAGGAACACCGGUGGUGUAAACGGCUUUCUGGACCGUAGCUGACGCUGAGACACGAAAGCGUGGGGAGCAAACAGG
rnacentral:rRNA from 1 species